rnacentral:rRNA from 1 species
UGAAGGAGGAGGCAGCGAAGAAGACUUAUGCUGCAAAAGGCCGUCCAUCGGAUAAUCCGCUGAUCGUGCAUAUUGCGGAUUAUGAAGAUCUGAAGGCAGUUGCGGUGAAUAUACCGGCGAAGACGGAUGCCCUGGCAGCUCAUUUCUGGCCUGGUCCACUGACGAUGAUCUUUGAGAAGAGUGAGGUUGUACCGUACGGAACGACAGGCGGACUGGAUACCGUUGCGGUCAGGAUGCCGAGUGAUCCGGUGGCAGCGGCUGUGAUCCGGGCAGCAGGUGGAUUCGUAUCUGCACCAAGUGCCAAUACAUCAGGAAGACCGAGUCCCACAACAGCACAGCACGUCAGUGAAGAUCUGGACGGAAAGAUCGAUAUGGUUCUGGAUGGCGGUCCGGUUGGGAUCGGUCUGGAAUCAACGAUCGUGGAUUUUACAGAAGAGAGAAUGCCGGCAUGAGUAGCGAGAGGAAAGUGAGAAACUUUUCCGUCGAAAGCCUAAGGUUUCCUGGGGAAGGUUCGUCCACCCAGGGUAAGUCGGGACCUAAGUGGAGGCCGAAAGGCGUACAUGAUGGACAACAGGUAGAUAUUCCUGUACCACGACACGGAUAAGAGCAGGGACACAGAAGGAUAGUUGGACCAUGGGGAUGGAAACCAUGGACAAAUCAAGAGGCUAAGCAGUAGGAAGAAAACGCUGCUUAAAAGGCUGGUUGAUGAUGUGGAGUGAAAAAUAGUAGCGAAGCCAAUGAAUUCACGCUGGCGAGAAAAACUGCGUACUUAGAAGAAGUGAAGUGCCCGUACCGCAAACCGACACAGGUAGGCGGCAAGAGAAUUGCAAGACGAACGGGAUAACCAUUGUUAAGGAACUCGGCAAAAUGACCCCGUAACUUAGGGAUAAGGGGGGCCUACGCAAGUAGGCUGCAAAAAAUAGGCCCAAGCGACUGUUUAUCUAAAACACAGGUCUCUGCGAAAGCGCAAGCUGAAGUAUAGGGGCUGACGCCUGCCCGGUGCUGGAAGGUCAAGGGGAAAUGUUAGGAGCAAGUCCGAAGCAUAGAACUUAAGCCCCAGUGAACGGCGGCCGUAACUAUAACGGUCCUAAGGUAGCGAAAUUCCUUGUCAGGUAAGUUCUGACCCGCAUGAAUGGCGUAACGAUUUGGGCGCUGUCUCAACAAUGGACCCGGCGAAAUUGUAGUAUAUGUGAAGAUGCAUAUUACCCGCGACUGGACGGAAAGACCCCGUAGAGCUUUACUGUAGCUUGACAUUGAAUUUCGGUAAAGACUGUACAGGAUAGGUGGGAGACUUUGAACCAUGGGCGUCAGCUUGUGGGGAGUCGACGUUGGGAUACCACCCUAUCUUUGCUGAGGUUCUAACUCAAAGCGUUGAAUCACGAUUGAGGACAAUGUCAGGUGGGCAGUUUGACUGGGGCGGUCGCCUCCUAAAGAGUAACGGAGGCGUCCAAAGGUUCCCUCAGAAUGGUUGGAAACCAUUCGUAGAGCAUAAAGGUAUAAGGGAGCUUGACUGCGAGACAUACAAGUCGAGCAGAUACGAAAGUAGGGCUUAGUGAUCCGGCGGUAGAGAAUGGAAUUGCCGUCGCUUAACGGAUAAAAGUUACCCCGGGGAUAACAGGCUUAUCUCUCCCAAGAGUUCAC